UUUCUGUCAUGCCUUGUCUUUAGAAGGCACCGUGAUGAAUGCUAAUUUAAUAGAGGAGAAUCAAGCAAGCGAUGUGCAAUGAUUUUAAUGAAUUUUAAUGACCAUAUUCUACACUUAAUGAUGAUUGAUAGUCGAUUUAUGGUUUCUCCCACUUUAGUAAGAAAGAUGUGGUGUACAGAAUCUUGCAAAAAUGGAGGAUAUGGAUUUGGGGCGCGAACUGUCCCGACCACGGCGGUGCUGCCUACCAACACCAUGUGCAAGACUGCCUGACUUGUCCUCUAUCUUAAUGUUGUCAGCAAGAAGUUACUCCAAAUUCCAUCGCCUAACAAUAUCAUCAGUUGUAAGAAGUUAGGAGUUUGGUACGUACCCCGGUGCAAGAGACCAUGGAUGCAAAAGUCAGAUAAUUAGGAACCUGGACUACAAGGGCAAAUGGGAGGCACCUUUCAUCGACAUUCAGCCCAGGGAACCUCAACUUUCCCACUGUUGUACAUUCAUACUACUGUCCAUGUAUCGCUUCUGCUCAA